rnacentral:rRNA from 1 species
UACGUAGGGUGCGAGCGUUGUCCGGAAUUAUUGGGCGUAAAGAGCUCGUAGGCGGUGUGUCACGUCGGCCGUGAAAACCUGGGGCUUAACUCUGGGCGUGCGGUCGAUACGGGCAUCACUAGAGUUCGGCAGGGGAGACUGGAAUUCCUGGUGUAGCGGUGAAAUGCGCAGAUAUCGAGAGGAACAUCUGUGGCGAAGGCGGCUUACUGGUCCGGUUCUGACGCUGAGGCGCGAAAGCGUGGGGAGCAAACAGG